rnacentral:rRNA from 2 species
UACGGAGGGUGCAAGCGUUGUCCGGAUUUAUUGGGUUUAAAGGGUGCGUAGGCGGCCCUGUAAGUCAGUGGUGAAAUCCCAGGGCUCAACCCUGGAACUGCCAUUGAUACUGCAGGGCUUGAGUUCGGUUAAGGCGGGCGGAACUGGUGGUGUAGCGGUGAAAUGCAUAGAUACCACCAAGAACCCCGAUUGCGUAGGCAGCUCGCUGAGCCGAAACUGACGCUGAGGCACGAAAGCGUGGGGAGCGAACAGG